CGCGUAGGCGGCUUGUCAGGUCUGAUGUGAAAUCCCGGGGCUCAACCCCGGACGUGCAUCGGAAACCGGCUUGCUAGAGUCUGGAAGAGGAGAGUGGAAUUCCUGGUGUAGCGGUGAAAUGCGCAGAUAUCAGGAGGAACACCGGUAGCGAAGGCGGCUCUCUAGGACAGUACUGACGCUGAGGCGCGAAAGCUAGGGGAGCAAACA
rnacentral:rRNA from 1 species